AGCUUGACACUGAACAUUGAGCCUUGAUGUGUAGGAUAGGUGGGAGGCUUUGAAGUGUGGACGCCAGUCUGCAUGGAGCCGACCUUGAAAUACCACCCUUUAAUGUUUGAUGUUCUAACGUUGGCCCGUUAUCCGGGUUGCGGACAGUGUCUGGUGGGUAGUUUGACUGGGGCGGUCUCCUCCUAAAGAGUAACGGAGGAGCACGAAGGUUGGCUAAUCCUGGUCGGACAUCAGGAGGUUAGUGCAAUGGCAUAAGCCAGC
rnacentral:rRNA from 1 species